rnacentral:rRNA from 1 species
UGGGGAAUUUUGGACAAUGGGGGCAACCCUGAUCCAGCAAUGCCGCGUGAGUGAAGAAGGCCUUCGGGUUGUAAAGCUCUUUUGUCAGGGAAGAAAAGGGUACGGCUAAUAUCCGUGCCUCAUGACGGUACCUGAAGAAUAAGCACCGGCUAACUACGUGCCAGCAGCCGCGGUAAUACGUAGGGUGCAAGCGUUAAUCGGAAUUACUGGGCGUAAAGCGUGCGCAGGCGGUUUUGUAAGUCUGUCGUGAAAUCCCCGGGCUUAACCUGGGAAUGGCGAUGGAGACUGCAAGGCUAGAGUUUGGCAGAGGGGGGUAGAAUUCCACGUGUAGCAGUGAAAUGCGUAGAGAUGUGGAGGAACACCGAUGGCGAAGGCAGCCCCCUGGGUCAAGACUGACGCUCAUGCACGAAAGCGUGGGGAGCAAACAGG